rnacentral:rRNA from 1 species
GAUGAACGCUAGCGGCAGGCUUAACACAUGCAAGUCGAGGGGCAGCGCGAGUAGCAAUACUUGGCGGCGACCGGCGCAAGGGUGCGUAACGCGUGAGCAACGUGCCCGUAUCAGGGGGAUAAUCCAGGGAAACUUGGUCUAAUACCCCAUAGUAAUUUCGUAAGGCAUCUUAUGGGAUUUAAAGCUUUGGUGGAUACGGAUUGGCUCGCGUGACAUUAGCUUGAUGGUAAGGUAACGGCUUACCAUGGCAAUGAUGUCUAGGGGUUCUGAGAGGAAGGUCCCCCACACUGGAACUGAGACACGGUCCAGACUCCUACGGGAGGCAGCAGUGAGGAAUAUUGGACAAUGGAUGGAAAUCUGAUCCAGCCAUGCCGCGUGAAGGAAGAAUGUCCUAUGGAUUGUAAACUUCUUUUGUAUGGGAGCAAUAAGGUAUUCGUGAAUACUGAUGAGAGUACCAUACGAAUAAGCAUCGGCUAACUCCGUGCCAGCAGCCGCGGUAAUACGGAGGAUGCGAGCGUUAUCCGGAUUUAUUGGGUUUAAAGGGUGCGUAGGCUGUUAUAUAAGUCAGUGGUGAAAUAUUCGGGCUCAACCGGGAUACUGCCAUUGAUACUGUAUAGCUGGAAUAUGGUUGCUGUGUGUGGAAUGUGUGGUGUAGCGGUGAAAUGCAUAGAUAUCACACAGAAUAUCGAUUGCGAAGGCAACUCACAAAGCCAUUAUUGACGCUGAUGCACGAAAGUGUGGGGAUCAAACA